CCUACGGGAGGCAGCAGUGAGGAAUAUUGGUCAAUGGACGCAAGUCUGAACCAGCCAAGCCGCGUGCAGGAAGACGGCUCUAUGGGUUGUAAACUUCUUUUGUACGAGGACAAAAGCAGGGACGUGUAUCGGUCUGAGUGUAUCGGAAGAAAAAGGAUCGGCUAACUCCGUGCCAGCAGCCGCGGUAAUACGGAGGAUGCAAGCGUUAUCCGGAUUUAUUGGGUUUAAAGGGUGCGUAGGCGGUCGGUUAAGUUAGCGGUAAAAUCGCGGGGUUAAACUCCGAAUUGCCGUUGAAACUGGCCGGCUUGAGUGGGCGUGCGGUAGGCGGAAUGCACGGUGUAGCGGUGAAAUGCUUAGAGAUCACACAGAACUCCGAUUGCGAAGGCAGCUUACCAAGCUCCGACUGACGCUGAGGCACGAAAGCGUGGGGAGCGAACAGGAUUAGAUACCCGAGUAGUC
rnacentral:rRNA from 1 species